rnacentral:lncRNA from 1 species
CCUCAUCGAAAAUUUUACAGAAAAUCGGACAGAGUUUCCCCUGUUUUUGGACCAUCCCAAAAAUUUUCUUGUCUCAAAUCAGCAACCAAGCAUCCUAAUAACAAUUCAAGUGCCAAGGACUUUAUCAAUUAACUAAAAUAAAUAUCAACCUUCAACAGUCCACCCACUAACAACUAGAAAUACUACUCUAUCUCCAAAUUUUUAUAAGAAUGAGCGUUACUCAACAUAAGUCUAUAAUAACAAAGACUACUCAUGUCACUAAAAGAAUGACCAUGGAGCGGCUCUAAGAGUUCAAAUAAAAGACCAUAACAAUAAAGAAAAUCUCCGCCCACUCGUACAAGUGCAAAACUCACCAAGAAUUCUUAACAUGUGCGCUCUAAUUAACGAAAUCCUUGCCCGCGUCAACUGUUAUCUCUGGAAAAAACAAAUAGCCGUGAAUGAGUCGCUAGAUAUAAUAGCACUUAACCACAACCAUUUUUAUUGGGGGCAAGUCAGAAAAUAUGGUAGUAUCUCAAACAAAUAACAUCAAAUGCCCUUUCAGAAACAAUAAAUAAUUUUCAGUCUCAUCAUACUUUUCUUGUAGUAUAAUACAAUUAACAGUUCAGUAAUAAGUUCGGUAACUACUGUAUCAUAUCAAUAUUCACAUUUGGGAGGUUUCAAUGAAGGGAUCAUGUAAUCGGUAUAAUUGUGGACUUAUUCUCAAGAAGUCAAAUAUAAUGGUAGUCCCUAUUCGAGGGAAGUCGGUAUGCUAGUUCUACCUUCCUACUAGUGAGGGCUAUAACGAUAAUCUAUAAUUACAAGGUGGCCAGGUCUAACGAAUCUGCCGUUAGCUACGGGAUCCUUCAAUGUCUAUUCCCAUUUAUACUUGUCUCUGUAAUCCAUAUAUACCCGUAGAAAAUAUUUUAAAAAAAUAAAAGGAAUUUCAGUUCUUAUGAAAUGAUAUAAUUUAUUUUCGAUAAUAGUAAAUUCAAGUAACGGUAAAGCAGAUCUAGUGACAAUAAAAUAUUUAAAAUUAUGGUAUUCAUCUCAAAUAACUAUUUUGCUAUCAUAUUAAGUAAAAACACUUAUCCCACAUGUAAUCAAAAUAAUCGGUAACAUAUUCAUAUUAAAAUUCAUGUGUAAAUCAUGCUAGCUAUGAAAAUACAAAUUGCGGUAAGAUUACUACUCACAAUUCUCGUGCCGAAAUACCAAAUGCUUCACCUCGAGCAAUUCGUACAAAUUUCUCCAAUCAAUUUAUAAUUAUAUAAUAUUGAUCUCAUAUUAAUUGCUUCAUUUAGGCUAAAUCCAUCAUUAAUUUAGAAUAGCCAAUCAUCGGGGUUCACAUUUGUGUCUUAAUUUGUGGAUUUAUAUUUAAUCAUAGAACUAGUCCAUAACUCUAUCGAUUUCAAACUAUUUGGUAUAACUUUUUUCUCUAAAAGUAGACCUAUUAGUGUUUAAACUAAACCUUUAUAGCCUCAUUAUCUCCAUAGUAAUUGCAUAUUUCUUUUUGUAUAAGAGAAAAUUGAUAUUGAAUUCUUUUGUACUAUAUGAAAUUGCAUAAAUACGAUGAAAUAAUUCAAUAGUUGAGGAAUAGCAGGUUAACCUCUUGAGCCGAAGGAGAGAUUUAAUGCUUUUAAUUUCAACUCUCAAUUCUUCUUUAAGGUAAGCCCAGAGCCUUCUUCUUCUUCUUUCCCCGUUUUUCUUUCUCUGUCUGUUUUUCUUUGUUUUGUCGUUUGAAGCUCUCUC